UUUCAUAUCAAGAACCACUAUUUGUUCUGUUUUUUUUUUUUUGGAUAAUAAUAUCACUUUAUAAUAAAAAGAAAAGACAUUUGAUGUGAAAGUAAGAAGAGAAAGAUAAAAUUAUAAUUAUGACUACUUUUUAAAUGGAAUGAGCUUCUAAUUAAAUAAAUAACAAACAGGCAGAAAAAAUAAACACAAUACACAAAACAAACGUGGACCAUCGUUGCUAUCAAAUAAUUAUGGAAAUUAAAAAUUAGAUAAAAUAUGGUUUUAAGGGCGACUAAACUGCCUACACACUUCGGAUUAAAACAACCACGGAUAUGUUCGAAUUAUAUGACUGCUUUAAAAAGAGGUCACUGUUAGAAUUGAUAUUUUUUUUUCUUUUUCGUCUUUUAGAAAAAUGUAAGUACCCAUUUCGGAGAAUAGGAGAUGGCUGCUCCUUCAUAAGUAAGGAUAAAACGACUAAAGAUAGAGCAUCUGCAAGUGUAUAAUUUAUUUAUUUUUUGAAAUAUUCAAUAUUUCGUUUCAACUUGAACUGGCUACAGAGCGAUAUCGUUAUGGCGAAAUGAAAAUUCCUUUUGCUUUGGUGUAUUGAAAUGAUAUUUUAAUAUGCAUUAGAACUUGUGAACAGAUUUUAACUAACAUUUAAAAAUUGUAAAAUAUUUAACGCAACUGCAAACAUAUUGAAUGCUCAAUACAUGUACAUGAUGAUAUUUGUCUAAAAUACGCACGUCGAAGGUCAAUCUACGUCAUUGUUGUGGCAUCACGUAAAUUAUUAUUUGUCUUCAUGCCGAAUGCAUACCACUUCAACCACAAUGAAAUGCAAACAGAUAGUUUCUAAUUGGCAACAGAAAGUUUCGCUUAUGUAUCUUGAUUAUCUAAAUAAAGUAUGAGUUAAACUGAUAUUUUUCUUUAUAAAUGCAGCCGUAAAAAAGUAACACAACUUUUCACUGAUUUGACCAAUUUCCCUUGUUUAACCAUGCAUCAGUAUAAAUAAGAAGAUGUGAUAUGAGUGUCAAUGAGACAACUCUCCAUUCAAGUCACAAUGUAUAAAAAGUUAACAAUUAUAGGUCAAAGUACGGCCUUCAACACGGAGCCUUGGCUCACAACGAACAGCAAGAUAUAAAGAGCCCCAAAAUGACUUGUGUAAAACAAUUUAAACAGGAAAACCAACGGUCUAAUCUAUAUAAAAAACGAGAAACGAGAAACACAUAUGAACCACACCAACAAACGACAACCACUGAACAACAGGUAUCAGUCCUGUUAAACAAGGUAAUUUAGUAUUUACUAAAACUUACAAGAAAGAAAAGAUAAAUCCAUAUAAGGACAAAUAUGAUACAGGAAGCUGGAACCUUUGUUUUCAAUAUUUGUUCAUAAAAUUAUCAUCGGCAAAUUUAAGAAGGUAUUAUAUAAAUCAGUCAAUACCGGAACAUUUACUAUUGAGUUGGUGAUACCAUUGAGAACUAUAAGUAUACCAGCUGCCGUAUGUUCCCUCCUAAAUUUUUUUAAAACCAAAAGAAUGAUGCAAAUUAUUUUAAGUUUGAAUAGCACUGGCAAAUAUGAAUAAGAUAGAAAUGUAAGAUUAAAUCAUAUUUUCAAUCAGCAGUAAUACUACGUAAUGUCUUUGAAUCCAACUAAAACAAUCCUUAUGAUUGUGUCGUCCUAUAACAAACGAGAAAGCGAAUCAAGAUAUGUCUGAUUUUACAGGAUUGUAUAUAUACUGCCAUGUUAAUUGAGGACGUCCGUUAAUGCAACAUUUUACAAAUUUACAGAUUGUUGCCAUUUCCACUUCUCAUUGUGAAAUUUUAAAACAUUUUUACUUCACAAAAUAUUUUACAAGGCUUUGUGUUUACGGCGUAGUGCAUAUCUUGUCACCUUUGAGACUAUGGAAGAGGCCAUGUUGAUGAAGUAUGAACUGCAACAAAUGAAUACAGGUUUAAGUUUCUUUAUCGGAGGGCGAAACAUCGACUGAUACGUAUCUGACGGAGACUGGAGAUAGGUAAAAAAUGGCAAAAUGAUCAAGAUGACGUACAAAGCCUUUGGCGCUGGAGAACCUGACUUAAAUAAUUCUAGUCCACAAGACUGCAUGAUGUUUAGGGCUACAGAGAGAUUUGCUUUGAGAUAUUCUGUAACAAACCCGGAUGGACAGGCGGCUGUAUUUGUGAGAAAUGAUUAAAAAUAAAAACUAUUUUUAUUA